UACAGAGGUCUCAAGCGUUGUUCGGAUUCAUUGGGCGUAAAGGGCGCGUAGGCGGCGGGGUAAGUCGGGUGUGAAAUCCCAGAGCUCAACUCUGAAAUGGCACUUGAUACUGCUCUGCUAGAGGACUGGAGAGGAGAUUGGAAUUCACGGUGUAGCAGUGAAAUGCGUAGAUAUCGUGAGGAAGACCGGUGGCGAAGGCGGAUCUCUGGACAGUUCCUGACGCUGAGGCGCGAAGGCCAGGGGAGCAAACGGG
rnacentral:rRNA from 1 species